rnacentral:rRNA from 1 species
GAUGAACGCUGGCGGCGUGCCUAACACAUGCAAGUCGAGCGAGAAGCUUAUGACUGAUACUUCGGUUGAGAGAUUAAGUGGAAAGCGGCGGACGGGUGAGUAACGCGUAGGCAACCUGCCCUUUGCAGAGGGAUAGCCUCGGGAAACCGGGAUUAAAACCUCAUGACACUGUGCGCCCGCAUGGGUAGACGGUCAAAGAUUUAUCGGCAAAGGAUGGGCCUGCGUCUGAUUAGUUAGUUGGUGGGGUAACGGCCUACCAAGGCGACGAUCAGUAGCCGACCUGAGAGGGUGAACGGGCCACAUUGGAACUGAGACACGGCCCAAACUCCUACGGGAGGCAGCAGUGGGGAAUAUUGCACAAUGGGGGAAACCCUGAUGCAGCGACGCCGCGUGAAGGGAUGAAGUAUUU